UCGUUGAGGAAAUAAAUAUUUAUUAAUAACUGCAGUAAUCAUGAUAACUGUAAUAAUAAUUUAACGAUCAUAAUAAAUAUUACUGUAUUUCUGAAGCACAUUGAAAGCAUACACAAAGAUAGAACAAAACAGGGAACAGAAACCAAAUCCCAAAGUUAGACUACAGUUUCUGAACAGCUCAAACAUGUAAAAUCUCUUGGAAUUGAUCAAUAUAUCUCUUUAUUUAUGUAUUUUUGUUUACCUACUCAUCUUUUAAUCUAUAUGACCUUGGAGCAAUUGCCAAAAAAAUAAGAAAUAAAAAAUAGAAAUAGAUGUGUUUGAAGCACAUGAAGAGUCAUCGUUUUUGAAUUCCCAGUAAUACAACGUUCUGACAACGUUCUGACAACGUUCUGACACAGACAGAAAAGAAGGAGCAUCUGUACAUUCGGAAUACAAAAGCAUUACAUUUAAAAAAGCCAUAAACAGAUAGACAGACCGACACAAACAGAGUGGAAGGGUUUCUCUUUCGCAGCUUACUCCUACACCACUCUAACCUUUGUGCUUUGGGGGACUGCAGAGGGCGUUGUGAACUAGGAUGGGGACGGAGAUGGAUAAACUAUAUAGGGGAGGUAGGUCUGUGAUUUUGCUUAGAGGAUUCAGAACUUGUUCGGGUACUACAGGAUAAACGGGGUCUGAACUGGGUUGGGUUUUGGACUGAGGUUUCUGGAUUCAGAUGAGACUGUCUGGGAUUUUGCAUUAGGGUUUAGGUUGUAAACAAAUCGGGAAGUUCGAGGAAACCGACAUUUGGUUUUCGUAAGGAAGCUUGUGGAUUUUCAGGAAGCCAUCAUUGGAAUGAGUGUUGGAUGCGGGCUUUGGGUUAGGGUGCACAGAGGUAUACGUAACUUUAGGAGCAGCGGGUAGGGUAAAGUAAUUAGCCUCAGACAGUAACAGAGCUAUAGUGAAGGCUGCUUCACACUUGUUUGGGACAAAAUCCUAACCCAAGAUCUACACACUUAAAACACAUGUUUGCGUAAGGUCCUCAAUGACAUCAAAGUCUUGCAGAGUUAUGUUUUUUUUUUCUUUUUUCAAAUGAGAAUUAAGCCAUUUCAGAGCAAAUAUUAGCACACAGACACACUACCACCGCUCAGCGGUGCUGGGAAUAUAAAUGAUGAACAAUGUUCUAUGCUCAAUGACAAAAACAUGGAUCCCUGAACUAACAUUUCACUUCUGCACGUUUAUUUGUGUAAGUCAGAUAGACCAACAUAUUCACAGCAGUAGUGAACGUGUAAGUCAGAUAGACCGACAUAUUCACAGCAGUAGAGAACGUGUAAGUCCGAUCGACCAACAUAUUCACAGCAGUAGUGAACGUGUAAGUCCGAUCGACCAACAUAUUCACAGCAGUAGUGAACGUGUAAGUCAGAUAGACCAACAUAUUCACAGCAGUAGUGAACGUGUAAGUCAGAUAGACCAACAUAUUCACAGCAGUAGUGAACGUGUAAGUCAGAUAGACCAACAUAUUCACAGCAGUAGUGAACGUGUAAGUCAGAUAGACCAACAUAUUCACAGCAGUAGAGAACGUGUAAGUCCGAUCGACCAACAUAUUCACAGCAGUAGUGAACGUGUAAGUCAGAUAGACCAACAUAUUCACAGCAGUAGUGAACGUGUAAGUCAGAUAGACCAACAUAUUCACAGCAGUAGUGAACGUGUAAGUCAGAUAGACCGACAUAUUCACAGCAGUAGUGAACGUGUAAGUCAGAUAGACCGACAUAUUCACAGCAGUAGUGAA
ensembl:lncRNA